GUACGGGGGGGGGCAAGCGUUGUUCGGAAUUACUGGGCGUAAAGGGCUCGUAGGCGGCCAACUAAGUCGGAUGUGAAAUCCCCAGGCUUAACCUGGGAACUGCAUCCGAUACUGGAUGGCUUGAAUCCGGGAGAGGGAUGCAGAAUUCCAGGUGUAGCGGUGAAAUGCGUAGAUAUCUGGAGGAAUACCGGUGGCGAAGGCGGCAUCCUGGACCGACAUUGACGCUGAGGAGCGAAAGCUAGGGGAGCAAACGGG
rnacentral:rRNA from 1 species